CUGAAUUGGUUUACAUUAAACAAACAAAUUAAAUAUUUAUACCAAAAUCUGUGAGCUGGACAAUGGGUAUAAAAUGCCUAUUUUCAGUUAUUCAGUUGGGCUCUUAGUUUUCCAUAAUUCACUGAUGUGUUAAUAACUUUUUAGAGCAGCUUUAUUUCAGCAUUCUUUAACAGCUAGAAUGUGUGAGAUGUGAUAGUUCUUACUGAACAGGAAGAGGUCAUGUCUCCCUUAUCAUGUGAACGAGGAAUGCAUUAUCCUGCUGUAAUUAGGUGUAUUAAAU